rnacentral:rRNA from 1 species
CGGACGGGUGAGUAACACGUGGGUAACCUGCCCAUAAGACUGGGAUAACUCCGGGAAACCGGGGCUAAUACCGGAUAACAUUUUGAACUGCAUGGUUCGAAGUUGAAAGGCGGCUUCGGCUGUCACUUAUGGAUGGACCCGCGUCGCAUUAGCUAGUUGGUGAGGUAACGGCUCACCAAGGCAACGAUGCGUAGCCGACCUGAGAGGGUGAUCGGCCACACUGGGACUGAGACACGGCCCAG